AGUGAACGCUGGCGGUAGGCCUAACACAUGCAAGUCGAACGGCAGCACAGUAAGAGCUCGCCCUUACGGGUGGCGAGUGGCGGACGGGUGAGGAAUACAUCGGCAUCUACUUUUUCGUGGGGGAUAACGUAGGGAAACUUACGCUAAUACCGCAUACGACCUACGGGUGAAAGCAGGGGAUCUUCGGACCUUGCGCGACUGAAUGAGCCGAUGUCGGAUUAGCUAGUUGGCGGGGUAAAGGCCCACCAAGGCGACGAUCCGUAGCUGGUCUGACAGGAUGAUCAGCCAGACUGGAACUGAGACAAGGUCCAGACUCCUACGGGAGGCAGCAGUAGGGAAUAUUGGACAAUGGGCGCAAGCCUGAUCCAGCCAUGCCGCGUGGGUGAAGAAGGACUUCGGAUUGUAAAGCACUUUUGUUGGGAAAGAAAAGCAGCAGAAUAAAACCCCGCUGUUCUGACGGUACCCAAAGAGUAAGCACCGGCUAACUUCGUG
rnacentral:rRNA from 1 species